CCCCUUGAGGUUCGGGCGCGAUUGGCCUAUAUUCAUAGCGUCCUUCGGGACUAUGAACAUAAACGCGCUCGUAAUAAGCGGAUCGGACCCGGGGGCGGUACCCGGCGACUCCACCAAACAUCCUUCAUUUGGGGAUCAUGGGGUCGAAACAGGAUCGACGAACGUCUAAAGGGGUUUGCUUUGUUUCGGCUGUCUGCCACCGUUAUCGGCGAAACUUGUACAAUUGCAAAUGACAAUCGUGCUCCAGUUGCGAUGGCCGCGUAAGCGGUUUCAGCGACUGAAACUUAACUCCUUGGGUUUAGCGACCUAAGGCGGGGUUCGCAGGCACCUGGCAACAGAAGCCUGCACU
rnacentral:tmRNA from 19 species